GUAGGGGGCAAGCGUUAUCCGGAUUUACUGGGUGUAAAGGGAGCGUAGACGCCAAGGCAAGUCUGAUGUGAAAACCCAGGGCUUAACCCUGGGACUGCAUUGGAAACUGUCUGGCUCGAGUCCCGGAGAGGUAAGCGGAAUUCCUAGUGUAGCGGUGAAAUGCGUAGAUAUUAGGAAGAACCCCAGUGGCGAAGGCGGCUUACUGGCCGGUAACUGACGUUGAGGCUCGAAAGCGUGGGGAGCAACCAGGAUUAGAUACCCUGGUAGUCCACCCCGUAAACGAUGAAUGCUAGGUGUUGGGGAGCAAAGCUCUUCGGUGCCGCCGCAACCCCACUAACCAUUCCACCUGGGGAGUACGUUCGCAAGAAUG
rnacentral:rRNA from 1 species